GGAAGAACUGUAGCUCAGUAGUAUAGCAUCUGCUUUGGAUGCAGAAGGUCCCAGGUUCAUUCUCUUGACAUCUCCA